UGUCAGAACUGGAAUGCUGGGAGUAACCCGGCUCCGUCUAGCCCCAGAGGAGCUGCCACUGAGGGCUGUCAGGCGUGGAGAGUUUUUUCCAACGACUGGCUUCGUAGGCCCCACUGGAGACCGUUUUGGCAUUUGAGCCCCAGGUCCUGUGCAUCUUACGUCAGCCCCAGUGUUGAGGAUGCCAGGGGCCCUGUCCCUCUGAAGCCCCUUCUGCCUGCCCUGCAGCAGUUGCAGCUCCUGGGCCGGUUCUGCCAGGAGCAGGGGAUCCCGUUCCCACCCAUCUCACCCAGCCCCAAAGAGCUGCUCCAGCCUUGGGAGUGCCACACCUUCUCCGACUCCACCUGCCCCGGAGCCCCCGCGGUGCUGCACUUUCCUCUGGUCAGCGACUCCUUCUGGGAGUACUCGGCCCCUGGGGUCCGGCAGCCACCCGAGGAGGCGGCAGCUGGGGAGGUGAACCUGUCUUCAUCGGACUCUCCCUACUACUACACGAAGGUGACCUACAGCCAGGAGGACGUGGACAAGCUGCUGCACCUGACACAUUACAAUUUCUGCAACAACCAGGAGCAGCUGCUGGAGACUCUGCGCCAGGCAGUGCAGCGGAGGCGGCAGCGCAGGCCCCACUGAUGGCCGGGGCCCCUGCCACCCCUAACUAACUCUCAUUCAUUCCCUGGCUGCUGAGUUGCAGGUGGGAACUGUCAUCACGCAGUGCUUCAGAGCCUCGGGCUCAGGUGGCACUGUCCCAGGGUCCAGGCUGAGGGCUCCCUUGCGCCUCAGCAGUUUGCAGUGGGGUAAGGAGGCCAAGCCCAUUUGUGUAAUCACCCAAAACCCCCCGGCCUGUCCCUGUUUUCCCUUCUGCGCUACCUUGAGUAGUUGGAGCACUUGAUACAUUACAGACUCAUACAAAUGUGAGGCGCUGAGAAGGGCCAUGUCAUUCUAGGCUCUUGGCUGUACAUGGCAAGGGCUGGUACAGAGCUCGCUCUUCAGUGUUCUUCCUCCGAAGAGCACAUUCUCUGCACACAUCUGCGUCUACCUGUGCUCAGAGUCACCCCUUCCAGGCAAGGAGGAGGCCACAUGGGCCUGGGGUAGCCCUGGCCUUGCCCACCUGCUCUGCCGUAACACGUCUCCUCUUCAUCCAGACAGGAAUGCAGGGGGAGGCCAGCCAAUGGCUGUUUCCUGCCACAUGGUAGGACCCAUCUAACCAGAAGGAACUGUCUAUUCCAGAAUCUGGGCCUGGGGAACUGGGUUGAAGCAGCCACGGGAAGGAGCCCUUUUGCCUGUAGCUGAGUCUCAUUCUGGUCCCUUAGAUGUGUCCUCGCUUGUGCCCCUGAAGUUUGGUGUUGCACUGGGGUUCACCUCAGGGAUCAGACCUGUUGGGAAAACGGAAUGAAUUUAGUAGGGUAUGG
rnacentral:lncRNA from 1 species